rnacentral:rRNA from 1 species
AAAUCCGCUUUGAUAAUGCUGGGAUGUGAUGGGGAGCGAAAUUUAGUAGCGAAGUAGCUGAUUUCACACUGUCAAGAAAAGUCUCUAUCGAGGUUAAAGGUACCCGUACCGCAAACCAACACAGGUGGGUGAGGAGAGUAUCCUAAGGCCAGCGAGAGAACUGUUGUUAAGGAACUCGGCAAAAUGACCCCGUAACUUAGGGAUAAGGGGUGCCACCA